rnacentral:misc_RNA from 1 species
GUGAAAAACACCUGAGAUAAUUCAGCCUGCUUUUGAAAGUAAAAUUUCAAAAACAAAACAGUAAAAGCACUUAUGUCACUUACUUUCUCAGUCAUGAAUUGAACAAUGUAAACCUGUCAAGGAAAAAGACACGGUCUAUUAACACUAAUUAAAGGGGGUGACACACGGUGGCGGACACGUUCUUCGUGAUACCGCAAACCCUACAUAAUUACCAGUGAUCACUAUUAUCACAUACUGUUGAUUUCGCGACAGUCACAAAGAGAAUCAACGCAGAAGUCGCAGAGAACUGGAUUUGAAUAAUCUUCGCUUACGCAGCAAUCGUGAAAAAGCUGAACAAAGUCAGAACCCUAAUGGCACUCCUGGACAUGCCGAUAAUGAACGAGAUCUACUCGAAGCAAGCCAAGCAACUGCAACUUCAUCCGAA